AAGAAAGGCACAGCUGAGAACUUCUCCUGGUGUUCCUGAAUGGUCGCUCCUGCUGACUCAAACUGAGGUUGAAGCCUUGCUAUAACUUCCAGGUCAUAUGACCAAGUUUCUAACUGGACUCUACCAAACUGGAUUGCUGGUGUAUCUGUAAAGUGUUUGCAAGUGGAUUGAGUUGCUGCUGCUAACCUAUGAACUGAACUGCCGAUUUCCAGAAAACAGAGAUGGGAGUUUCUCCAAGGAACAUUUCUGAACAGGCCCACUUCCCUGUAUCCUUUCUUUUGCACUACCUCUG
rnacentral:lncRNA from 1 species